rnacentral:lncRNA from 9 species
GUAUGGAUACAAACAAUUGAUUUUGUUUUUAAUUAUUUUUAAUUAUACAAAUCAGUACUGCUAUAGAUCUCAUCAUGCUUUUACUCUGUUUUGACUCAGGAACUUCUUUUAGAAAGUUAUCUUCUUUGAGAUAUAAUGUACCGCGCGGGGAAAUGUCACACGGGCAUGAGCUUUGAUAAACGUGUGCGUUUGUGAAACCACCACCACAGUCACAUGGCACAUUUUCAUCUCUCUGAAUGUUCCCUCCUGCUCCUUGCAGUCGAUCCCAUUUGCCCACCAGGGGCCCCAGGCAGCUACUGAUCUGCUUUUUGUGAUGACAAUUUUGUAAAUGUAAUCAUUAAGUACAACAUCCAAUGAAUGGGGUUUCCAUGGAUAAUACAAAAAUUGGAGGGGAGAAAUGCCACAGAAAUAAUUUUCUAAAAUUUCUCAGGGAGGUGGACAGACUUCAGUUCUCCAAUUAAAAGGUCCUAUUCCAUCUCUGGUACGACAAAUAAAUAAAACAUAAAAUAAAACAUGAGAACCUCCAAUGCUUAGACUCAGCCGUGUGAAAUUGAAUAGAAACCAAGGAUAAAGGGGUGAUCUAAAAGACCCACGGGGAAAACCAUAGGACUCCCUGGAAGGGAGAAUGAGCUGGGCAUUAAGGAAUGCUAGAUGUUGGUAUCAAACCAAUUGAUGCCUUUGAGGUGCUGAGAGUAAGUGAUUUGGAACUGAACGCUAUGCCAGCCCUACUGUCAAUCAAGUGUGAAGAGACAGUAAUUAUUAAAUAAGCCACGAGGCAGAAAUUUUCUCAGUACUGGGCACCGCUUCUUAGGAAGCUGCUCGUGUUCCAGCCAAAGGAGACAGCAAACAAAUGGCAGAACAGCAGGAGCCGAAGAGCGACACAAGGCAGCAGAGGUAAAGAAAACCUCCUGGGGAAGAAGAGGCUGCACGAGGCCUUACGGAGCCAGCCGGCCCAUCUGGAAGGCUGUGGAACAGGUGGCUCGAGGGAGCUGCAAGACUGAAUGUGAACCCGUGAUAGUUUUGCAGUUAGGAGGAGCCACCGACCUGUGCUGUGGUCUUGAAUGACAAAUCGCAACAUUGUCGAGACAGAACAGCUAGACAUCAAAGACGUUAUUUUAGAAAGCCAUAAACAUUGAGUUGAUAUCCUCAUGAACCCAGGAACCAUCGCAGACACAUGAAAUGAUAUAUUUGGAAAAAAUGCAAUCAGACUUAGAUCAUCCAACAAAGAUUUUCUGUUCACAUCUGUUGCUACUGAUUCAUCAGAUUAGACUGUCUUCUAACUUUUGUUAACAGAUAAGCAGCAGCCGCUUGUACAGGCAUGGAUACUAUUUAUGGGAGAAAAAUCUUAAAAUCCGG